rnacentral:rRNA from 1 species
AUUGAACGCUAGCGGGAGGCCUAACACAUGCAAGUCGAACGAGUGGCGGACGGGUGAUUAAGGUCUGGGAAACUGCCUGAGGGAUGGGGAUGACUACUGGAAACGAUUGCUAAUACCGCAUACCAUCAGCUGUGCCCAGAUGGGAUUAUCGUGUUGGUGGGGUAACGGCUCACCACGGCGACGAUCCCUAGCUGGUCUGAGAGGAUGACCAGCCACACGGGGACUGAGACACGGUCCAGACUCCUACGGGAGGCAGCAGUGGGGAAUAUUGCACAAUGGGCGAAAGCCUGAUGCAGCCAUCCCGCGUGUAUGAAGAAGGCCUUCGGGUUGUAAAGCACUUUUAGCGGGGAGGCGUUACCCGCAGAAGAAGCACCGGCUAACUCCGUGCCAGCAGCCGCGGUAAUUC